AUAGCAACCCAUGGUCCAUGGUAUUCUCUGUAUCCAUGGCAACACUGCAGCUUGUCACACAAUCUCCACACCCACCACUCUCAUUGCAUUGCGCAGAGCUCGGCCAUCUUUCUCAUCUGUCAGGCAUUCCUGAGAAAGAGCGCCAUUCUACCUCUCCUGCUGCCAGCCUUCACUCCAGCAAGGAGGGUGCUGGGUGACCUGAGCCCACAUAGCCCUGAAUACCCGAAGCACACACAGCAGAGUCCUCUGGACUUCGAGGAGGAACCCACAGCAGGAGGAGGCUGUGGAAACCUGGGACCACUUCUACCUUCCUACGUGGCAGUGGCUCAGAGUUAUUUGAGUGCUGUCAAACUAAGCUGAUUGCUGCCCUAGUAUUAGAUCA
rnacentral:lncRNA from 1 species